GAGAAGAUACAGAAAAUGAAAAUGAAAAUAAAAUUUGGUACUACAGCACAAAGGUCCAGCUUGCAGAAUUAAUUGACUGUCUAGACAAAGAUUAUUGGGAAGCAGAACUCUGCAAAAUUCUGGAAGAAAUGCAUGAAGAAAUCCGACACAUGGACAUAACUGAAGACCUGACCGAUAAGGCUCAGGGCAGUAACAAAUCCUUUCUGGUGACAGCUAA
rnacentral:lncRNA from 1 species